ACUCCUACGGGAGGCAGCAGUGGGAAUAUUGCACAAUGGGCGCAAGCCUGAUGCAGCCAUGCCGCGUGUAUGAAGAAGGCCUUCGGGUUGUAAAGUACUUUCAGCAGUGAGGAAGGUAGUGUAGUUAAUAGCUGCAUUAUUUGACGUUAGCUGCAGAAGAAGCACCGGCUAACUCCGUGCCAGCAGCCGCGGUAAUACGGAGGGUGCGAGCGUUAAUCGGAAUUACUGGGCGUAAAGCGCAUGCAGGUGGUUUGUUAAGCGAGAUGUGAAAGCCCGGC
rnacentral:rRNA from 1 species